CGGCUCAGUAACACGUGGAUAACCUACCCUUGAGACGGGGAUAAACCCGGGAAACUGGGUAUAAUACCCGAUAGAUCUCGACUGCUGGAAUGCAUCGAGCUUGAAAGCUCCGGCGCUCAAGGAUGGGUCUGCGGCCUAUCAGGUAGUAGUGGGUGUAGCGUACCUACUAGCCUACGACGGGUACGGGUUGUGAGAGCAAGAGCCCGGAGAUGGAUUCUGAGACACGAAUCCAGGCCCUACGGGGUGCAGCAGGCGCGAAAACUUUACAAUGCUGGAAACAGCGAUAAGGGGACCUCGAGUGCCAGGUUACAAAUCUGGCUGUCGUGAUGCCUAAAAAGCAUUGCAUAGCAAGGGCCGGGUAAGACCGGUGCCAGCCGCCGCGGUAACACCGGCGGCUCGAGUGGUAACCGUUAUUAUUGGGUCUAAAGGGUCUGUAGCCGGCCGGAUAAGUCUCUUGGGAAAUCUGGCAGCUUAACUGUCAGGCUUUCAGGAGAUACUGUCUGGCUCGAGGCCGGGAGAGGUGAGAGGUACUUCAGGGGUAGGGGUGAAAUCU
rnacentral:rRNA from 1 species